GACGAGACACACACGCGGAUUACACGUACCGUACGACUCAGCCAAAUAAAGGAGGCUGACGUAUCCUUUGACCGCCGAAGAAAGACGAAAACGAGUCUUUGAGAGGAACACUCACGAAGAAUCAGAAGAAAACCUCACCUCCCCUGGCCCUGAGAGAAGACGAAUCAGAGAAUCUUAUUUAUCUGAUCGAGCCAACGGAUUGAGUGUACUUUCCGCCUUAGCUUUCUCAACUUUCGUGUGGAAUCCAAACACCAUGGAUGAACGCAAUAGGAAUACAUUUGCAACUGCAAGUGGAGGAGCAGGGGGCAGUACAAGUGCGAGCUCCAACUCCAGUUUUAGUAGCAGUGUGGCGGAUACAGAGGAUGAUCAGACCAUUGCACGUAUAUUAGCUGAAGAUGAGAGCUUAAGAAGAGAUGGCAUGCUUGGGAAGAGACUCUCUCAUUUAGAUUCUAUCCCUCACACUCCUCGUGUUAACAAUCAAAUACCCGAUAUAAAUGAUGCAACAUUAGACCAUGAGCUGCUCUCUGUGAGGUUGGCCACAUAUGGUUUAGCUGAACUACAGAUGGAGGGGGAUGGUAAUUGCCAGUUCCGAGCUCUAGCAGACCAGCUUUUCCGUAAUCCAGAUUACCAUAAGCAUGUUAGGAAGCAUAUCGUAAAGCAGGGAGGGAUAAAAUUAUUAUCUGAUUCAUUCUUGGAUGUCAUUAGACCGGGUGAAUGGGGAGAUCACGUUACUCUUCAAGCUGCUGCAGAUCGUGUAAGUUUUCUUUUUAGAAAAAAUAACAUCAUGUUUUGGGUUUACUAUAAGACUGCAGCAGUUUAUAAAUACACCUCAGAGAUUCUGUCUUCUCUUGAGUAACUGCAUCUUGAAGAAUCAUUGCAAAGUUUACCUUUGAUCCACUCACGUUUUUCGUUCUUUUUUUUUUUACUUGAAUGAAUGACUGGCUGCUGAUUCAGCAUUAGUGUAGUUUGAAGCGAAGAUCUGCUUAGUCACAUCAUUUCGGGAACAAUCCUACAUCGAGAUACUUCCCCAUAACAAGAAUCCUCUUAAAGAGGCUUGGCUUAGCUUCUGGAGCGAAGUUCAUUACAAUUCUCUAUACUCUAGUGGAGAUGUUCCCACAAGACAAUACAGGAAGAAGCAUUGGCUCUUCUAGGAUUGGAUUCAUAUGUAUGUAUAGUAUACUCAGAUUGUGUGUCAACUUUGUAAUAACCUCACUCUGUUACAUUGGUUUCAUGAUUGUUUCCAUCUCAACA